CCCCUCUUAGGAUAGCACCUGGAGAGUUUCCAGUACUCUACCAGCCUCAAUUAUGGGAGGGAGAGUCAAGCAGAAGCAUACCCAUUCCAUUCCUAGCUUGGGCAGUGGCUAGUGAGUGGAAGGGAAUCUACUACAACU